UAAUACGUAGGGGGCAAGCGUUGUCCGGAAUUAUUGGGCGUAAAGCGCGUGUAGGCGGUUCGAUAAGUCGGUUGUGAAAGUCCAGGGCUCAACCCUGGGAUGCCGACCGAUACUGUCGGACUAGAGUCCGGAAGAGGUGAGUGGAAUUCCCGGUGUAGCGGUGAAAUGCGCAGAUAUCGGGAGGAACA
rnacentral:rRNA from 1 species